UACGGGGGGAGCAAGCGUUGUUCGGAUUUACUGGGCGUAAAGGGCGCGUAGGCGGUCAGCACAAGUCAGUUGUGAAAUCUCCGAGCUUAACUCGGAAAGGUCAACUGAUACUGUGCGACUAGAGUGCGGAAGGGGCAACUGGAAUUCUUGGUGUAGCGGUGAAAUGCGUAGAUAUCAAGAGGAACACCUGCGGCGAAGGCGGGUUGCUGGGACGGUACUGACGCUGAGACGCGAAAGCGUGGGGAGCAAACAGG
rnacentral:rRNA from 1 species